GCAGCAGUAGGGAAUCUUCCUGAGAGGGUAAUCGGCCACACUGGGACUGAGACACGGCCCAGACUCCUACGGGAGGCAGCAGUAGGGAAUCUUCCACAAUGGACGAAAGUCUGAUGGAGCAACGCCGCGUGAGUGAAGAAGGUUUUCGGAUCGUAAAACUCUGUUGUUGGAGAAGAAUGUAUCUGAUAGUAACUGAUCAGGUAGUGACGGUAUCCAACCAGAAAGCCACGGCUAACUACGUGCCAGCAGCCGCGGUAAUACGUAGGUGGCAAGCGUUGUCCGGAUUUAUUGGGCGUAAAGCGAGCGCAGGCGGUUUCUUAAGUCUGAUGUGAAAGCCUUCGGCUCAACCGAAGAAGUGCAUCGGAAACUGGGAAACUUGAGUGCAGAAGAGGACAGUGGAACUCCAUGUGUAGCGGUGAAAUGCGUAGAUAUAUGGAAGAACACCAGUGGCGAAGGCGGCUGUCUGGUCUGUAACUGACGCUGAGGCUCGAAAGCAUGGGUAGCAAACAGGAUUAGAUACCCUGGUAGUCCAUGCCGUAAACGAUGAGUGCUAGGUGUUGGAGGGUUUCCGCCCUUCAGUGCCGCAGCUAACGCAUUAAGCACUCCGCCUGGGGAGUACGACCGCAAGGUUGAAACUCAAAGGAAUUGACGGGGGCCCGCACAAGCGGUGGAGCAUGUGGUUUAAUUCGAAGCAACGCGAAGAACCUUACCAGGUCUUGACAUCCUUUGACCACUCUAGAGAUAGAGCUUUCCCUUCGGGGACAAAGUGACAGGUGGUGCAUGGUUGUCGUCAGCUCGUGUCGUGAGAUGUUGGGUUAAGUCCCGCAACGAGCGCAACCCUUAUUAC
rnacentral:rRNA from 1 species